CCUACGGGAGGCAGCAGUGGGGAAUAUUGGUCAAUGGGCGCAAGCCUGAACCAGCCAUCCCGCGUGCAGGAAGACGGCCCUAUGGGUUGUAAACUGCUUUUCCAGGGGGAGAAAUUUGCGCACGUGUUGCGUAAUUGACGGUACCUUGGGAAUAAGCAUCGGCUAACUCCGUGCCAGCAGCCGCGGUAAUACGGAGGAUGCGAGCGUUAUCCGGAUUCAUUGGGUUUAAAGGGUGCGUAGGCGGACUAAUAAGUCAGUGGUGAAAUCCUGCAGCUUAACUGCAGAACUGCCGUUGAUACUGUUAGUCUUGAGUUUGGUUAAGGUAGGCGGAAUGUGUAAUGUAGCGGUGAAAUGCUUAGAUAUUACACAGAACACCAAUUGCGUAGGCAGCUUACUGAGCCGACACUGACGCUGAGGCACGAAAGCGUGGGGAUCGAACAGGAUUAGAUACCCUGGUAGUCCACGCCGUAAACGAUGAUUACUCGCUGUUGGCGAUACACUGUCAGCGGCUAAGCAAAAGCAAUAAGUAAUCCACCUGGGGAGUACGGCCGCAAGGCUGAAACUYAAAGGAAUUGACGG
rnacentral:rRNA from 1 species